rnacentral:rRNA from 1 species
ACGCUCGACACCUACGGGAGGAGCAGUGGGGAAUAUUGCACAAUGGGGGAAACCCUGAUGCAGCGACGCCGCGUGAAGGAAGAAGUAUUUCGGUAUGUAAACUUCUAUCAGCAGGGAAGAAACUGACGGUACCUGACUAAGAAGCACCGGCUAAAUACGUGCCAGCAGCCACGGUAAUCUGAGCGGGCUGGCAAGGC